GGCGCUGAAGCGUCGUGCUUAUACUCGGCCGUCGGGACAGUAGUGAUAUCUUUACUACUCUCCGGAGUGUAAAAUAUCGUCAGGUCUCGACGAGUAGGUGGGCCGCGGCGGUGAGCGCAGAAGGACUGGGCGUAGGCCCGUCUGGAGCCACCGUCGGUGCAGAUCUUGGUGGUAGUAGCAAAUACUCCAGCGAGGCCCUGGAGGACUGACGUGGAGAAGGGUUUCGUGUGAACAGCCGUUGCACACGAGUCAGUCGAUCCUAAGCCCUAGGAGAAAUCCGAUGUUAAUGCAGUUGUGUCUUAAUAAUACGAUACCGAGUUGGUGUGAGAGUUUCAAACAGUUGACGUUUAUACUUUGAUACAGUUAAAUAAUAAUGCUGGGCUAAACUGAACUAUUUUACUAUAUUACACUCGAUAUUAUUGAACGUUCAUAAGUGCAGUAUACUACUUCUUGCGGGUGACCGUUAGUCGUAGACUCUCACUUGUUCAAUUAGUGGUGGUUAUAUGUAUAUAUAUGGUGGUAGUUGAAACACUUUGUUAUUGUAGAAAAGUGUCAUCUGUCUCUAUCCACUAACUAAAUCGUUGUUAGAGAAGUAUCACACUCAUUGGGCGAAAGGGAAUCCGGUUCCUAUUCCGGAACCCGGCAGCGGAACCGUUUACAAGUCGGGCCCUCUUUUGAGAGUUCGUCGGGGCAACCCAACAAGACCUGGAGACGCCGUCGGGAGAUCCGGGAAGAGUUUUCUUUUCUGUAUGAGCGUUCGAGUUCCCUGGAAUCCUCUAGCAGGGAGAUAGGGUUUGGAACGCGAAGAGCACCGCAGUUGCGGCGGUGUCUGGAUCGUCCCCUCGGACCUUGAAAAUCCAGGAGAGGGCCACGUGGAGGUGUCGCGCCGGUUCGUACCCAUAUCCGCAGCAGUUCCAAGGAGAC
rnacentral:rRNA from 1 species